GUGCUCCCUUGAGCAGCACAUAUACUAAAAUUGGAACAAUACAGAGGAGAUUAGCAUGGCAAUUUGAUUUAUAAAAUCCUUUAAAAUAAAUAAUUAAUU
ensembl:snRNA U6 U6 spliceosomal RNA